rnacentral:sRNA from 1 species
CUCUAGCCCUGAUCGAAGCGGUAUCCUCUGGCUGCAGGGUUUGCAGGCAGAGAUAUAGCGCAGAGCAGGACAAAGG